GAAAUGACAAAUUAAAACCAGAAAGACCCCUUUUCCCUCCAUCUCCUGAUGUCUUGAUUCAGGCCCAGCAGAAAAUGCAGUGGAAGAGAAGAUCCACUCUUCUGAGGAUGGAAUCCUUGGCCAACAUUGGUUGCAACACAGGACAGUAGUCAUCAUCAUCAUUGAUAUAAUGGCCUCCAAAACCCAGAGUCCUGCUCUAGAUGGUUCUGCUAAGAAUAAGGAUGAUACAAGGAUGGAGAAAAUUGGGUGCUGGUGAGCAAAGUGCAUAGUACUCCUCCUGGGAUGUUCUCCUGUUGAUUGGAAACACAUCCAACUUGUCACGUAAGAGGAAUCUUGGUUACUUCAGAUGCUCUUUUUGUCUGCAGCCAUGAUGGACCCUCUUGGGCAGGCAUUUCAGCUGGGCUAGGUCAUGCCUAGCACUUAUACCUGCAGAAUUCAAGAUAGCUGAGGGAACUCAGUACUGUACAGAAGUCGCUGCUGUUGUUCAUACUG
rnacentral:lncRNA from 1 species